GAUGAACGCUGGCGGCGUGCCUAAUACAUGCAAGUCGAGCGAACAGACGAGGAGCUUGCUCCUCUGACGUUAGCGGCGGACGGGUGAGUAACACGUGGAUACCCUACCUAUAAGACUGGGAUAACUUCGGGAAACCGGAGCUAAUACCGGAUAAUAUAUUGAACCGCAUGGUUCAAUAGUGAAAGACGGUUUUGCUGUCACUUAUCGAUGGAUCCGCGCCGCAUUAGCUAGUUGGUAAGGUAACGGCUUACCAAGGGGACGAUGCGUAGCCGACCUGCGAGGGGGAUCGGCCACACUGGAGCUGAGACACGGUCCAGGCUCCUACGGGAGGCAGCAGUAGGGAAUCGUCCGCAAUGGGCGAAAGCCUGACGGAGCGACGCCGCGUGAGUGAUGAAAAUCUUCGGAUCGGAAAACUCUGUUAUUAGGGAAGAACAAAUGUGUAAGUAACUAUGCACGUCUUGACGGUACCUAAUCAGAAAGCCACGGCUAACUACGUG
rnacentral:rRNA from 1 species